UACGGAGGAUCCAAGCGUUAUCCGGAAUCAUUGGGUUUAAAGGGUUCGUAGGUGGUUUUGUAAGUCAGUGGUGAAAGCCCAUCGCUCAACGGUGGAACGGCCAUUGAUACUGCAAGACUUGAAUUAUUAGGAAGUAACUAGAAUAUGUAGUGUAGCGGUGAAAUGCUUAGAGAUUACAUGGAAUACCAAUUGCGAAGGCAGGUUACUACUAAUGGAUUGACGCUGAUGGACGAAAGCGUGGGGAGCGAACAGG
rnacentral:rRNA from 1 species